rnacentral:rRNA from 1 species
CCCUUAGACGUUCUGGGCCGCACGCGCGCUACACUGACCAGUGCAACAAGCAUCCGUCCUUGGCCGACAGGCUCGGGCAAUCUUUGAACGCUGGUCGUGAUGGGGAUAGACUUUUGCAAUUUUUGGUCUUCAACGAGGAAUUCCUAGUAAACGCAAGUCAUCAACUUGCAUUGAUUACGUCCCUGCCCUUUGUACACACCGCCCGUCGCACCUACCGAUUGAAUGGUCCGGUGAAGCCUCCGGAUUGGUGCGCACCUCGGUGCCGCCGAGAAGUUGGCUAAACCUUACCAUUUAGAGGAAGGUGAAGUCGUAACA